rnacentral:rRNA from 1 species
CCUACGGGGGGCUGCAGUGGGGAAUAUUGCACAAUGGGCGCAAGCCUGAUGCAGCCAUGCCGCUUGUUUCUCUUACGCCUUCUGUUUGUAAAGUACUUUCAGUCGUUUCGAAGGUGUUAAGGUUAAUAACCUUAGCAAUUGACGUUAGCGACAGAAGAAGCACCGGCUAACUCCGUGCCAGCAGCCGCGGUAAUACGGAGGGUGCGAGCGUUAAUCGGAAUUACUGGGCGUAAAGGGCACGCAGGCGGUUAAGUAAGUGGGAAGUGAAAGAGCGGGGCAAAAACAGGGAAUGGGAAUAAAGAGAGGUUAGCUAGAGUCGUGUAGAGGGGGGUAGAAUUGCAUGUGUAGCGGUGAAAUGCGUAGAGAAGGGGAGGAAAAAAGGAGGCGAAGGCGGGACCAAGGACAAAGAGAGAGGGGCAUGUGCGAAAGCGUGGGGAGCAAACAGGAUUAGAUACCCUUGUAGUC